rnacentral:lncRNA from 1 species
AUGGACUUGGAGAGCAUUCAUCGAAACUGCUUUUUAUUCUCCUUGAAUGCAGAACUAAGCAUUGCAAGUGAGGCAACCACAGGUGCAUGGAAGAAGAACUGGCCACUACAGGAAGAAACAUUGAAACAUCUCAUUCAUGAGUGGGAUCAAAUUUGCUUAACGCCUGCCAAGCCUCCACCAGGAAAGGAAUUGCCAACAGCCACUGGAGUUAAAGAUGAAGUUGGAGACAAAAUUAGAUAUCUCUAGAUGAGGACGUGUAUCCCAGAAUUCAGAAAGAGGUGACAGCCUCUAAAAGAAGUGCUUUCCCAUUCAAAAUUGGAAAGGAAACUUACAAAUUCAAAUAUCUUGGAAAACUAAGAAUAAGAAGAGAAAAACUUAAAACAGACUGAACAGCUGGAAUAAGACAAAUAUACUGUAUUUUAUUUUAUUCCAAGUUAUUUACUUUUCUGUUCACAAAGUGAUGUGAUUUCCCAGCAUUUCUCUCCUGAAUGAAAAUAAGAAAAAGUUUCUGAAUUAUUACCAAAUGGUAAUAACUCAUGAAUUGAUUUUCAUUUGGGUUGAACAUUUUUCUUUUUUUUUUCUGUGUUGUUUAUACCUGGAAUGUGUAUGUAAUUCCACAUGACUGUUCUCUUGGUCCAUCUUUAAAACUCUGUUUUUCAUGACCCUGCCAGAAAAUUGACAGAAGUUAUAUUAUUUUUGGAUAAAGAAUGGUGCCAACUGUUGUCUUAUGUUUCUGUUGUAUCUUGUUUCAUGCUUCAGUAGUUCAACCCUUUAUAUUAUGGUAUCAUAGAAAUAAAACUAUCCUUGCUUUUUUU